rnacentral:rRNA from 1 species
UACGUAGGGUGCGAGCGUUGUCCGGAAUUAUUGGGCGUAAAGAGCUUGUAGGCGGUUUGUCGCGUCUGCUGUGAAAAUCCGGGGCUCAACCCCGGAUCUGCGGUGGGUACGGGCAGACUAGAGUGAUGUAGGGGAGACUGGAAUUCCUGGGUGUAGCGGUGAAAUGCGCAGAUAUCAGGAGGAACACCGAUGGCGAAGGCAGGUCUCUGGGCAUUAACUGACGCUGAGGAGCGAAAGCAUGGGGAGCGAACAGG